rnacentral:rRNA from 1 species
AGCGGCGGACGGGUGAGUAACGCGUGGGCAACCUGCCCCAUACAAAGGGAUAGCCACUGGAAACGGUGAUUAAUACCUUAUAAGUCGGUAGUCUCGCAUGAGACAGCCGACAAAGAUUUAUCGGUAUGGGAUGGGCCCGCGUUUGAUUAGCUAGUUGGUGAGGUAACGGCUCACCAAGGCGACGAUCAAUAGCCGACCUGAGAGGGUGAUCGGCCACACUGGGACUGAGACACGGCCCAGACUCCUACGGGAGGCAGCAGUGGGGAAUAUUGCACAAUGGGCGCAAGCCUGAUGCAGCAACGCCGCGUGAGUGAUGAAGGCCUUCGGGUCGUAAAACUCUGUCCUAAGGGAAGAAGAAGUGACGGUACCUUAGGAGGAAGCCCCGGCUAACUACGUGCCAGCAGCCGCGGUAAUACGUAGGGGGCAAGCGUUAUCCGGAAUCACUGGGCGUAAAGGGUGCGUAGGCGGUGAUGUAAGACAGAUGUGAAAACCCAGGGCUUAACCUUGGACGUGCCUUUGGAACUGGUCAGCUUGAGUGCAGGAGAGGAAAGCGGAAUUCCUAGUGUAGCGGUGAAAUGCGUAGAUAUUAGGAGGAACACCAGUGGCGAAGGCGGUUGCCUGGCCUGUAACUGACGCUGAGGCUCGAAAGCGUGGGGAGCAAAUAGGAUUAGAUACCCUAGUAGUCCACGCUGUAAACGAUGAUUACUAAGUGUUGGAGCAAUUCAGUGCUGCAGUUAACGCAAUAAGUAAUCCGCCUGGGGAGUAUGCACGCAAGUGUGAAACUCAAAGGAAUUGACGGGGGCCCGCACAAGCGGUGGAGUAUGUGGUUUAAUUCGAAGCAACGCGAAGAACCUUACCAGGUCUUGACAUCCCUCUGAAUGGCGCUUAGCAGCGCAGGUCUUUCGGGACAGAGGAGACAGGUGGUGCAUGGUUGUCGUCAGCUCGUGUCGUGAGAUGUUGGGUUAAGUCCCGCAACGAGCGCAACCCUUGCCUUUAGUUGCCAGCACAUAAUGGUGGGCACUCUAGAGGGACUGCCGGUGACAAACCGGAGGAAGGUGGGGAUGACGUCAAAUCAUCAUGCCCCUUAUGAUCUGGGCUACACACGUGCUACAAUGGCCUGAACAGAGGGAAGCGAAACCGCGAGGUGAAGCAAAUCUUUUAAAGCCGGUCCCAGUUCGGAUUGCAGGCUGAAACUCGCCUGCAUGAAGUUGGAGUUGCUAGUAAUCGCAGGUCAGCAUACUGCGGUGAAUACGUUCCCGGGCCUUGUACACACCGCCCGUCACACCACGAAAGUCGGCAACACCCGAAGCCGGUGUCUCAACCCG